rnacentral:lncRNA from 1 species
GCUUCCCAGGGCCGUACUCACAGCAUAUGGAAGUUCCCAGGCUAGGGGUUGAAUUGGAACUGGAGCUUCCGGCCUACAUCACAGCCACAGCAACGCCAGAUCUGAGCCACAUCUACAACCUACACUGCGGCUCACAGCAAUGCUGGAUCCUUAACCCACUGAGUGAGGCCAGGGAUUGAACCUGCAUCUUCAUGGAUACUAGUUGGAUUCGUUGCCACUGUGCCACAAUGGGAACCACUCUUUAUUUCAGAUCAUUACACUGUGGCUCACACUGUCCAAUCAGUCACUCACAUGACCACACAGCCAACAGGAAGAGUAUGUUUUAGUGACAGAGAUGUACUCCAACUGCUCUCCUCUGAAAAGAGGCGAGGCAUUGCUGAUGUCUUAAUCCAGGGAUAAAAAGCAGCUCCACACACUAAAUUUUCAAGACUCAAACCAGAAAAAGCCAGCACUCAAGGUUCUUGAUAAUAAUUUGACCUCGACACAAAGCAAUUACUAACACAAACCUUGCAUCACUGCAGAAACUCAAAUACUAGACUCUGUGUUAGCUCCAGGUCACAGGGAACCCCAGAUUUGCAUUUCCCAUCAUACUGAGCUGCUCCAGGGGGAACUGUAGGAGAGGCUGCACCUGCAUGCAAUGUGGGGCAGUGGACCACAUGCCUAAGGAGAGGAGUCCAGGGGGAAAGAAAAUAAGUGAAAGGAACAAGGCAAAAGUAGUCCUCCUCAGAGCUGAGAGUCCUAAAUCAGGUCCCCAUUGUGGCAUAACUUGGAGUAUCCACAGUACCAAACUCUCUGGGAGAAGCUGGAGAUGGGCAGUUCCAGUGGGACCAGGCAAUUGUCAAUGAAUGCCAGGCAGUGAGCAGGGAUGGAGCUAAACAUCCCAUUUGGGCAGGACAAAUGACAAAACUGGGUUCCAGUCUCCCAUGACUGGGAGAUUUCAGGAAGAGACUGAAAAUCAGGGUCAUCUGUCCUCAGGACUUAUUGGUAAAAUAUCCCUCUUUGCUGGCACUCUUGAAGGACAUGAAGAAACCCACCAAGUCUUUAGGAAGAUGCCGAUCUACGGACCAAAACCAAACCAAACUGUAAUGCCUUCAGCACCCCAGCAGUGGUUACCUUUACAGCAGGCUCCUCCCCGCUGGCUGCCAGCUAACAGCAGUCCACUUUACUGCCUAAGACUUAUGAAUUCAUCUAAACAACCACAGCAAAUUCCUGGCCAGAGCAGAGACCAGCAAAAUGUUUCUAAAAUCAUCUCUAAUUUACUCCCUAUGAUUUUAAUCCACCCAUUCAGCAGUUUCCAUUCAACUAAAAACGUACGAAUAUUUAGUAAAUAUUUAUUUAGCACCUACUCAAAGCCAGGCAUGUCCCAAACACUAAGGCUAUGUUAGUCAUCAAACAGGCAGUCACUGCUCUUGUAGGAUUUAUGUGAUAGUAAGAAGAAAUCCGAAUCCACCUCUGCUUCAUUCACAACCUAAUGAAGAAAACACGACUCUUCUCCUUCCUUCACACAAUUGACUAUCUCACAAAAAGGGAUACACACAUACUGAAUAUUUUACGAAGGCCCAUUAUGGGACAGAGCAGGUGGCACAAAGAUGAAUAAGGUAUGAGCCACAGUCUAGUGGGAAAGAUCAUAUAUUCACAAAAGAUUCCAGUAUAGGCAGGCGUUAGGGGUUUAAUUGAGUCCCCAGCCAUAAGCAGACAUGCUGGUGUUCUAACAUGACUUUAUUUGGAAUUAGGGCUAUUACAAACAUAAAAAGUUAAGAUGUGAUCAUACUGGAGUGCAGUGGACUCUUAAUUCAAUAUGCUUGGUGUCCUUAUAGGAAAACAGCCCUAUGAAGAUAGAGACAGGAAGAAUACCUCAUGACUACAAAGGUAGAGAUUGGAGUUAGGCAACCACAAGCCACAGAACAUCAAAAACUGCUAGCAAACCCCCAGAAGCUAGGUUUCAGAGUGAGCUUGGCCCUGUCACACCUUAUUUCAGGCUUCUACCCUCCAGAACUGUGAGACAAUCCAUUUCUGUUGCUCUAAUCCAUCAUGUUUGUGGUUCUUUGUUACCGGGGCCCUCAGAAACUCAUCCACCAGGUAAGUGUUAUAAUAUAGCCAAGAACAGACUCUGACAGAAACAGAGGAGGAAAUAACUUCACGGUCCUGUGGUGGAUGGGGAAGGCCUUCCACAGGAGAUGCCAUUUUCACUGUGCCUUGGAAUAGAAAUAGGACUUUGGCCAGACACAUCUGAGAAGUCAAGACACGAAGGUCCUUCUGGGCUGUGCCAGGAAUGAAAAGACAUGACCUCUUGUGCGCUACCAAAUAUAUAGCAUUUAGGAUGCCCCGGACCCUCUCCUAAGCCAUGUACAGAGGAUGCAUGGAGGAAAAGGAAGCCUGGCAAGAAUGUAAAUGGUAGACAAUGCUCUUGGAAAGUAAAGUUAGACCCAAAUUAUGCUGGCACAGUAAGUCAUAGGAAAACUUUAAUUAUAAGCAGAUGAACAAUAUGAUCAUGUUUAAAUUUUUUGGUAGGCUAUCUUUGGCAACAGGGUGCUGAAUAUACUUGAGGAACGAGGACCAGUUAACACACUUCUCAAACUGAUCAGGAAGAAGUCGACUAAAGUGGGUGUGAUAUUGUGAUAUAAUAAGAAAUACAUAUUUUGGUCUUUGUUCCAGUUCCUGGCACAGAGCUUCGAAAGCCCUUGGAAUUUCCUGAGUCACUGGGGUGAGGACAAUGUCUUCUGUUAUUCAUAAUAAGACUCUUUUGACCCUACCUGAGUUUAUGCUAAGGAGGAGCCUCUUGGAGAGUAGAGGCUGGUAUCAAGCCAGUGGGAAGAGGGGGAAAGCAGAAUUAUAAAGAGGCAGGAACAGAUGACUGAUGGAUACAGAGGGUGGAGGAAGCAUGGGAAAAAAAAAAAAAAAGUUAAGAUUAGCCAAGGGCACAAACUCUGUCACAACGCCGAGUUCAAAUUUUGUCCCAGCUGUCUGACCCCGGACAAGUUAUUUAGCCUUCCUUAUCAGUGUCCUUAGAACGCCCGGCCCGGACAUGGUAAGUGCUUCAUCUGCAUUCGCUAUAGUAGCAGCAACAUGUACACAGGGAAUUCUUGAGCCAGGAAAAUGAGAUUAGGAGAACAUUUCCAAAAUCAAGACGUUUUCUGAGAGCAAAGACCCACAGGUCAGGAAGGGCAAGUUAGAUAGGAGUAAACUAAAGGUGCGUGAGGUGGUGGCCUGACUGGGAACUGUGAUCACGGCCAUGUCUGGAGACAGAGGACCACAAAAGCCUUUCAAGACCACACCUCUGAACCUAUGUCAGGGUCAACAGAGUUUGGGGAAGCUGAGCCUUCCAAUCAAGGUGCUGGGUGGGUGCGGUGGCUACCUGGCACCCACCUAUUUCCUGGAAGAAUCCAGGAAUUAGGAUUGGGGUUUGGGACUUAAAUCAAGAGGCUUUGACUUCUCCUGGCCAGGAAGUGGGUACCAAGUCCAGACCAGAGAGACCCUCCCUCUCUGGGAUUGAACAGGGAAGGAGUGAUGAAAAGACCAACUAAGGCUUUAUUCUGUGAGCUCUUCUACAUUGUUCCAUUAAUUAUCCCUUGAUUUAAAUUAAUCAGGCAUUCCCAUCAUGGUGCAGCAGAAAUGAAUCUGACUAGUAUCCAUGAGGACGAAGGUUUGAUCCCUGGCCCGGUUCAGCGGGUUAAGGAUCUGGCCUUGCUGUGAGCUGUGGUGUAGGUCACAGAUGCAGCUUGGAUCUGGUGUUGCUGUGGCUGUGGCAUAGGCUGGUGGCUAUAGCUCUGAUUCAACCCCUAGUCUGGGAACCUCCAUAUGCCAUGGGUGUGGCCCUAAAAAGACAAAAAUAAUUAAUUAAUCGGAGCCAAUGUCAGUGGCUGACCACCAAAGAUCACUAACACCCUAUUUCAACUUCAACAAAUGGGUCUCCCUGACCACCUCUUUUCAGAAGAAAGGCACUAACAAGAAAACAGCACCAAGUUGGAAGAUGCUGCCCACAGCCUGGCAACCAAAAAUCACAACCCUUAUCUACCAUGGGUAGGAUGCCAGAACAGGCUCUUUCUUCUUUCCCUUAGAGAAACCUGAGCCUUGCCAUCCAUCCUGUGUUUCAGAGUGGGUGAUAUAUGACAAAGAAGUUAUCACAUGACCUAGAUUUCCUACAUCAAUCAUUUCACUAAUCCCCCUUUUUUUAGCUUUACCGACACCAAGAAAGGGGUGCUGUUUCCAGAAAUGAGUUCUUCCUUCUGCACACAGUUCUACCCUAGGAGAACCAAUGACUGAUUUCCCUCAUCAGCACCUCAUUGAUGCAUUGAUGUUAAGAAUAAAGGACGCUUCAGAUCAGAUCAGCCCAGGUCUCUGCCCUGAGCCCAAUUGUUCCCCAAGGCUUUGUUCAGCAGGGACUCUUGACUUCUAACCAAUGGGCCCUCUGGCACCGCCUCAGGCAGAUAUCAUUCUAAAGUCAAAUCUUGAUCUCCACCAGAUUCAGUGUUCUGAUUCUUUCAAGUUCUCUUUCUAGGGUCCUGGUUGCAAUAUUCCUGUCCCUAUAUCUGAGAUUAGACAUUCUUUCCCUUGCUGAUGCUUUGUACCUUUCAAAUGUAUUCACUCAACCAGUCCAUACUGAGUGCUUUCCAUGUGUUAGAACCAAAUGUUGGCAGAUUGUUCUAACCCUGGGGAGGGGAGUGAACAUUAUUUGUUUUGAAUCCCGUGCCUAGCUGAGCACCUGGCACAUGAAAAGAGGCCCAGAAAGGUUUUCUUAUCAAAGGAAAAGUUUGCUUCACUAGCAGCUACGUGACUAGUAGAUUUCAGUGGCUUAUCACAGGACCCCAUCUGACCCUCAACUAUUAAGGUAUAUGGAGCAUCUGGGAAUCCAGAGUCGUUACUGCCUGACCCCAAAUCCUAGCUCCUUCCCUCUGACUAUGUGACCACAGGCUAACAGAUGCACUUUUGAAAGCCUCAAUCUCAAAUGAGAUUAGUAAUACAUGCCUCACAAAAUCAUUCAAAGUCUUAAAGGAGAAAAUGCAUGAAAACUAUUUAACGGAACACCUGGCACACCGUAUUUAAUAAAUGUGAUUCUGACCGGUACAAAUCGCAAUAUCACAAAUUCUGGUGUGCAAGAAACAUAACUUUAUUUCCUAUGACU